CAGGGACACCGAGGCAGCAUGUUCCUGGGAGAUGCAGGGCUUCUUCUCAAUCCAGAAACGCAGUCUUAAACCAGUCAAUGAGGAGUCACCUGAUCAGCACUAGCUCCUCAUGAUCAGGAUGAGACCCGCUGGGACACCCCACUUGCUCCAGUGCGCCUGCAGACAACAUCUUGGGAAAACUGGUAGAAAUCUUGAAAGAUGGAUUCCUACUGUGCCUUCCCAGCAGCUUUCUUCUGCUUCAUUUCCCAAACAAUUCUGCAGAAUUGUACAUGCCAGUUCCUCCAGACUCAACUGCAUGGU